rnacentral:rRNA from 3 species
AGAACGACUCUCGGCAACGGAUAUCUCGGCUCUCGCAUCGAUGAAGAACGUAGCGAAAUGCGAUACUUGGUGUGAAUUGCAGAAUCCCGUGAACCAUCGAGUCUUUGAACGCAAGUUGCGCCCCAAGCCUUCGGGCCGAGGGCACGUCUGCCUGGGCGUCACGC